CAAUUAGGGAUUUUUGCUUUAAUAAUAUACUGCUAUUCCAUAGCACCCAUGUUGCAGGAUGCUCACAAAGCUACCAUGCAAAAAUAUUAGCUGGUGCAGGGAAUAGCUGUAACCUUCUGCUCAGUUUCAUGUCCCCUGGGGAACAUACUAUAAGUCAGUUCUGUGCACUGCAUUACCUGCCAACCAAUUUCUGAGUGUGCUUCUGGGACCUGAGUAGUAUUUCUGAGAAGCUGAGACCUGGCUGCCUUGGAAGUGGCUUUUUUUAUCCCCAUCUACAUCAGGAUAGUCAUGCAGGAUGUUCUUUUUGGCUUGUUCAGGAGCUGAAAUUUGAAGUACCUUGGAACAAAUUUUUUUUGUCAAUGCACCAUGCUGCUUCAGAUUUUCACUUGAGCAGAAUCUUGUCUCUUGUCUUCAGGACUGGUCUCCCAGGAACAGUUGUGUUUGUCCAGGCAUCUUGCAAAACUUGCAAGGAUUUUGUUGAGAUUGAUGACAAGGUCAGAAAAUAGUAUUUUUGUCUUUUGGAGUAUAAGUGUAAAAGGCAGAUUCUAGUUAUCUGGAAGAAUGCAUCAAAAUGUAUGAGCAAGUAGGCAAAUGAAGAUGCAGCUGGGUAAAAGGUGUGGAGUGCACCUCAAAUAGGUGAGAACUGACCUUCUGGUUCAACUUCUCACUUGUCUGCACUGAAUAAGCUCUGUCAAUGUGAUCUCUGCAUGGUGAACGGGUACACGGAGAAGAGUCACCAAAUGCCCCAAAACCCAACUAUGAAUAGUAAUGCUUUGAAAAUCUGUGCAACAGUUUCAGUCGGUGGGGGCCCAAGAGUUUUCAGGCAAAUAGAAAUUCUUAGGAAGGAGCAUUUAAUGGAGUUUCCUUCUCCAUCCUCCUGCCCCAACCCAGAAGAGACAGACCCAAUCAGAACUGCAUUCAUCAGCUCUGGAAUGAAAUUAGUGGUGGGAGUUAACUGUUCUGGAGCUGUAGGAGAGAAAUGGUAUUGUCAUCCUUGCUGCAGGAUGUGGCUGUGUUUCACUCACCUGAGAGAUGAGACCCUGGGAAUUUUAUGAAAGCCAAAAAUGUUUUGCUAUGAUGGCAAUGUCUGAAAGAGCAAGAAGUUAUAUGUUCUCACAAGUACGUGAUAAACAGUUUUCAUAUCUCCAAACAGAAUUGAGGAGUGAUUUUUAUUCACUUUUUUGUUCUAUGUAUGCUUGUUUUCUUAUGAUCUUUCUCUGAAGAGAUCAAUGCAGACUUUUAACAAGGUGAGCAACAAAUUAUUUAAGGUGGCAAGAAUGUCAGCACUGUUAUCGUCACGAGAAGUAAAUGGCUGCAUAUCCAGUUUGGGAAAUAGUCAAGGUGCAAGUUCUUCUUAACAGAAUCAAGAAUUUAACAAAGUUACUGAUUCAGGAUGGGGCCUAACUUACAGUUUAGUCAGGAGCUGCUUGCUCAUCCAUGGAGGUUCCCAACCACCUCUGCUCCAUUUGCUGCUCAUCAGGAUGGACCAUUCUUGAGCUUAGAGGAGCUGAUCCUUGAAGAUCAUCCAGCUCUCCUGGACCUCUCUUCUCUCUAGGACAGUCUCCAUGGUAUUCCUCCCAGAAGAACCAUGAAUAGCCCAAGGCUUGGAUUUUACUCAAAUCAGCUGCUUUGUGUGAUUUUCUGUCUGGAUGAAGGGAGGAGUUUGGAUCUGUUUGGCAGCAGUCAUGUUCUUUUCAGCAAAUGCCUGAACCAGUGAUGGCCCAAAAGGUCAUCUGCAUUACUCUGCACUGGCAGUGAUAUGAGGGGAAUGGGACUCAGAGUCUCAUUCACUCAGGAAUUUCUAUAUCACUGUGGAAGCUUAAGUCAUCUCCUUCUUGAUAAAUGUACUCUGAAGAUGUGCCAGGGAUACUGCUGGUGCAAUGCCAAGAGCUUUUCUUCAUAAUAGCAAAGCACCUAAGUCCAAGGUGUUUUGCCAGUGCUGUUCCACUGGAUUUUACUGGCACAAGUGGCAGUGGAAUGCUGUCCCUAAUUAAAAGAGACAUACAAUAAAAAUGCAUUCAGCUCCUGUGGAACACCUAUAUGGAUGAAACAUGGCAAAAAGUGCAACACAGUCACCAGGCUGUUUUGUCCUGGGGAAGACCAUUCAAUGUAAUUAGACACUUCCCUCAACUGCCACAAUUUUUUAAAGAUGGUGAAGGUGACCUUGCACUGCCAGCUCCUUCAGCACUCUAAUGAUGUUCAUUAGUAACAAACCAAUGAGAAGAAUUCCUGUCAGAAUGGCAAGGUUUAAAGGGGCUGAUGAAAGGAAAGAACCAAAGGGCCACUUUGUAAAUAAAUUAUGGUCUGAGAAACUUUCAAUCUUAGCAGGACUCAGUGAAUCAAUUACACCUGUUUCCUCUACUUGAAAGGACAUUCUAGGGAGAAAAUCUGAAAUGUUUAUGAGAAGAGGAGUAUACCUUUGCCACUUAUUUUCUAAAGGAAGACAAUGGAUCUGGUGACCUUGGCUCUCUACUGAGUGAGAAGGAAGACCUUUAUUCUUGUGGGCCAAAGGAUUACACUGGGGAGCAUAGUCCUCAAAGGGAGUGUACAACCUGCUCAGAUUUCUCAUGGAAAUUAAAAAGUUUUGAAAGGUCCCUAUAUCCAUGACACAUGUAGACAACCUGUUUUGAAAUUUUUAUUCCAGGUUUUCCUUUGGACAUGUUGCAAAAGAGAAGAAGAGAGUGAGAGUGCAACAAAGAAGGAAAAGAGAACUUGACAAGAAGGUAGGGAAUGAAAGAAAGAGGACAUUAUAAGAAGAAAAAGAAUAUCAUAGUAAAAGUCUACGUGUGAAGGUGCAAGUUUAAUGCAGGUGGUUAAAGACAAUGCAGGUGGUUAAAGUGAAAAACAUACAAGUGGAAAAGACAAAAGGCUAUGUAGAAUAUGGUUCAAAGAGAUACUUUAAUAUUUUCACCUUAUUAAAAAAAAAAAAAAAGUUAUUUCAUUAAAGCUGAUUCCAGGUCAAUUAUUUGAUUUUUAAGUGCUGAAGUGAAAGUGGCAAAUAUUUUUCCAAGUUUCAUUUUACUUUCAACAAAUUGGAAGUGUUGCAAAAAUAGACUUAAAAUUUGAUAUUAAGGGAAAGAAAAUAUGACACUUUUGUCAAUUUAAUAUAAAAUAUAAACAUUUGUUUGGAAACUUGGUAAGCCACAUUACAGCAUUUUUCAGAAUUGUGCAACACAAUGUGUUUGGUAUAGUUGGAUGGGGUUUUUUGCUUUAAGGAAAAGUAAUUCUGAAAUAAAGAAAUCUACAGCCAAAAGAUAUUCUCCUCUUGCACAGUGCCUUAGGUGCUGCAAUCACUGCGAAGCUGAACACUGUCUAUUUGUUGCCUUUGCUCAAAGCUCACUGUAACUGCUCACCAGGGCUCCCGUGACAGGGCUUUGAGCUGUGAGGGCAGUAUUUUCACUUGUUUUAUUCUGUUGGACACAUAGAAUUGGCCUCAUGUUCUUAUACCUUCAAGCCCAUAUAGUGAUUAUAUAGACAGUUCUUACAGGGUGCAGUUGCCAUCGGCAUGAAGAAUUGU